CCUACGGGUGGCAGCAGUGGGGAAUAUUGCACAAUGGGGGAAACCCUGAUGCAGCGACGCCGCGUGAGUGAAGAAGUAUUUCGGUAUGUAAAGCUCUAUCAGCAGGGAAGAAAAUGACGGUACCUGAUCAAGAAGCCCCGUCUAACUACGUGCCAGCAGCCGAGGGAAUACGUAGGGGGCAAGCGUUAUCCGGAUUUACUGGGUGUAAAGGGAGCGUAGACGGCAGCACAAGUCUGGAGUGAAAUGCCGGGGCUUAACCCCCGAACUGCUGUUGAAACUGUGCAGCUAGAGUGCAGGAGAGGUAAGCGGAAUUCGUAGUGUAGCGGUGAAAUGCGUAGAUAUUGGGAGGAACACCAGUGGCGAAGGCGGCUUACUGGACUGUAACUGACGUUGAGGCUCGAAAGCGUGGGGAGCAAACAGGAUUAGAUACCCCUGUAGUC
rnacentral:rRNA from 1 species